ACAUUACAGGUUUUGCAAAAGCAGAAACUUCAACACAGGAAAACUUUUAAAGUAAAUAGACUAGCGCGGCACUUACCUCUCUCUAAUGGUGGGAUAAAGACCCUGCCAGUUUGGGGCCGGGAUAAGGUUGUUGUUACUGAGAUUCUGCUGGUGGUACUGCUGGACGCUGGUGCUGCUGGAGUUGGCUGGCUUUUUACGGGGGAAUAUAUCAGCAGCCAUCUUCUUCUUUUUAGUCUUCAAGGUAAUUAUUUCAUAACAAACUGGUGGCAACUUGCUGCUGUUGCUACUGCUGCUGCUGGUAUUUGCUUUCUUUGAGCUUUUCUUGGACCUGUUCUUUACCGUCUCUGGAAGCAUCAAGAAGAAGGUAUGGCAACUGGUGUCAGAAGUAUAAGGGGUUUGUGAAAAUUCCACAGUAAAGAAGUGGGGCAACACCUGGACUACGAGGCGGAUCUCCUGGCUUGUCAUGUUGUUUGCUUCAUUCACUCUAAUAUUCACUCACAGUAAUUACCUCACACACUUACAGAAUGCUCAAUUGUCAUAUUUCUAAUCUACUUUAAAAGAAGAGCUUUCUUUUAAAGUUUACAAAGAUGAAAACCAUGAACAUAUGUAGUCUGCACCCCUGUAGGGGCACACUACAGGCAAGAAUGCUGAAAGGAUACUUGUGGAAUGAGAUGGAAGGAAGGAACUGCAGUGAGGACGCUGCUCAAAAACAGAAGAGGCUCUCCAGGUACUUGAAAAUAGUCUAUCCAAAGAAAAGUAAAAUCAAGGCUCAGGAGGUCCCUUUCAAAAAGGCCUGAAUGGGGCUGUUCCAACAAAGGACUUCAAUCAAUCCUACUGGGAAUGCUGGAAUGGAACAACCUCACCCAACCAUUGCUGUGGCUUUCUCCAGGUCAUUUGUUGGCUUUAAAUAACAGAAGAAGAAAAUAAUAUGUUUCGGUCAAAGAAAAAGGAAAGUGUUUCCAAAGAUAUGUUUUACUUUGGCUAGUAUUAGUUUUUUUUGUUUUUUUUUCUGAUAUUCGAAAGAUAGUCACCAAGAACAUCUCCUCCAUCAGAUCAUCAAAGUCCAAAAGCUUCUCUCACAUAUUAACCAAAGAGUAUCUUGUUCUAUUUGGGAAAAACACCUUUUCCAAGAACACAUGGGACGGGAAGAAAGAAUCCAGACAACUCCCAAAUCACCAGAUAUUCUACAUCAGUCCUGAUUAUUAGUGAGGUUCCAAGUAUCACAGCCAAAUUUCCCCAACAUCCACAACUAAGUUCUAUACCUUUAGUCACUCAGUGCUUAGAAAUAAACACUGCUCUCCUGUCCUUCAAUUUACUGCCUCCCCGCCAUCAACACCAAACACCUGAAUUAUAUCAAUUAUCUUAGAUUUUAAAUUGUGCUCACUGUAAAAUGAACAGGACAGGUUGGGAAAGGCAAGGCCAGAAAAAGCUUUUUAUUUUGUUGUUUUGUUUUGUUUUGUUUUGUUUUGCAAAACCACAUAGAAAAGACCAGUUACAAUUUCACAUUUUGACAAACACUAUACACAUAUCCAGAAGGUCUCAAUUAAUUACUAUUUAAUGAAAUGCUAUCCUUUGUUUUACAAUGUAUGCGACCAGAAUGAAAUAUAGUUAUUUUGGGCAAACAAUACAAGAUCUAACAUUAAGAGGUCUGCUAUGCUGAGUGAAAUCUGAGAAAUCUUGCUGUGGGAAAACUUAAACAUACAUGAAGUUACAAAGUAGCUUAACACUCAAUUUCUAACAUACCUUCUCUCGAGUAGAUACCACCAAAUAAAAAUGAAAAAAGGCACCUACAUUUCUAAAAUAAAUAACAAUAAUAUUCCCUAACAAAAAA
ensembl:lncRNA BTBD3-AS1 BTBD3 antisense RNA 1